rnacentral:rRNA from 1 species
AUUCCAGCUCCAAUAGUGUAUAUUAAAGUUGCUGCGGUUAAAAAGCUCGUAGUUGGAUUUCGGAAUGCGUCGGGCAAAGCUCGCCUUCUGGGUGUGGCUCGUUUGGCGCUUCCUAUCUUUGGAUAAUGGCCCUCUUGCUUCACGGCUUGGGGAGCACCGUUUCCAAUCGUUUACUGUGAAAAAAUUAGAGUGUUCAAAGCAGGCGUAACCUUGCCAUUGAAUAUUACAGCAUGGGAUAAUAGAAUAUGACAUUGGUCUUAUUUUGUUGGUUUCUAGGGCUGAUGUAAUGAUUAAUAGGGAUAGUUGGGGUCGCUCGUAUUGAGUUGUCAGAGGUGAAAUUCUAGGAUUUACACAAGACGAACUAGUGCGAAAGCAUUCGACAAGGAUGUUUUCAUUAAUCAAGAACGAAAGUUGGGGGAUCGAAGAUGAUCAGAUACCGUCGUAGUCUCAACCAUAAACUAUGUGGACCAAGGAUCCGAGGACGUUACAUGGAUGACUCUCCGGGCACUUUGUGAGAAAUCAUAAGUAUUUGCAUUCCGGGGGGAGUAUGGUCUCAAGGCUGAAACUUAAGGAAUUGACGGAAGGGCACCACCAGGAGUGGAACCUGCGGCUUAAUUUGACCCAACACGGGGAAACUUACCAGGUCCGGACACUAUGAGGAUUGACAGAUUAAGAGCUCUUUCUUGAUUUAGUGGGUGGUGGUGCAUGGCCGUUUUUAGUUGGUGGAGUGAUCUGUCUGGUUAAUUCCGUUAACGAACGAGACCUUAACCUAUUAAUUAGUUACGCGAACUCGGGGGCAACUCCGGUCGGUUCGUGGGCGAACUUCUUAGAGGGACUCUCGGCAUCUCUAGCCGAUGGAAGUUUGAGGCAAAAACAGGUCUGUGAUGCCCUUAGAUGCCCUGGGCUGCACGCGCGUUACACUGACAAUCGCAACGAGUGGUCUCCUUGCCCGAUGGGGCUGGGUAAGCUUUGAAAAGAUUGUCGUGAUGGGAUUGAACCUUGCAAUUAUUGUUCAUGAACGAGGAAUUCCUAGUAAGCGUGGUUCAUCAGACCACGCUGAUUACGUCCCUGCCCUUUGUACACACCGCCCGUCGCUCCUACCGAUUGAAUGGUUCGGUGAGAACUCAGGACGGUCGUAUUGCAGUUGCUCGCAAGAGUAAACGGAUAUGAUCGGAAUUUGUUCAAACCUUACCAUUUAGAGGAAGGAGA